rnacentral:rRNA from 1 species
UACGAAGGGGGCAAGCGUUGUUCGGAAUUACUGGGCGUAAAGGGCGCGUAGGCGGCCUUCUAAGUCGAACGUGAAAUCCCCGGGCUCAACCCGGGAACUGCGUCCGAGACUGGAAGGCUCGAAUCCGGGAGAGGGAUGUGGAAUUCCAGGUGUAGCGGUGAAAUGCGUAGAUAUCUGGAGGAACAUCGGUGGCGAAGGCGGCAUCCUGGACCGGUAUUGACGCGUGAGGCGCGAAAGCCAGGGGAGCAAAGCGGG